UAGCGGAGGGACAUUA
rnacentral:rRNA from 1 species